rnacentral:rRNA from 1 species
UACGUAGGGUGCGAGCGUUAAUCGGAAUUACUGGGCGUAAAGCGUGCGCAGGCGGUUUUGUAAGCCAGAUGUGAAAUCCCCGGGCUUAACCUGGGAAUGGCAUUUGGGACUGCAAGGCUGGAGUGUGGCAGAGGAGACUGGAAUUCCUGGUGUAGCAGUGAAAUGCGUAGAUAUCAGGAAGAACACCAAUGGCGAAGGCAGCUCUCUGGGACGGUACUGACGCUGAGACGCGAAAGCGUGGGGAGCGAACAGG